GACGAACGCUGGCGGCGUGCCUAAUACAUGCAAGUCGAACGCAGUGGGGACGGGUGAGUAACACGUGGGUAACCUCCCAUCAGAGGGUAUAACACUUGGAAACAGGUGCUAAACCGAUACUGAUGGAUGGAACCGCGGUGCAUUAGCAAGUGGGUGAGGUAACGUCGCACCAAGGCCACGAUGCAUAGCCGACCUGAGAGGGUGAUCGGCCACACUGGGACGGAAACACGGCCCAGACUCCUACGGAAGGCGGCAGUAGGGAAUCAUCGGCAAUGGACGAAAGUCUGACCGUGCAACGCCGCGUAAGUAAAGAAGGUUUUCGGAUCGUAAAACUCUGUUGUUAGGGAAGCGGUAUCUAACCAGAAAGCCACGGCUAACUACGUGCCAGCAGCCGCGGUAAUAC
rnacentral:rRNA from 1 species